rnacentral:rRNA from 1 species
UUAAGCGACUAAGCGUACACGGUGGAUGCCCUGGCAGUCAGAGGCGAUGAAGGGCGUGCUAAUCUGCGAUAAGCGCCGGUAAGGUGAUAUGAACCGUUAUAACCGGCGAUACCCGAAUGGGGAAACCCAGUGUGAUUCGUCACACUAUCAUUAACUGAAUCCAUAGGUUAAUGAGGCGAACCGGGGGAACUGAAACAUCUAAGUACCCCGAGGAAAAGAAAUCAACCGAGAUUCCCCCAGUAGCGGCGAGCGAACGGGGAGGAGCCCAGAGCCUGAAUCAGCAUGUGUGUUAGUGGAAGCGUCUGGAAAGGCGCGCGAUACAGGGUGACAGCCCCGUACACAAAAGCGCAUGUGCUGUGAGCUCGAUGAGUAGGGCGGGACACGUGGUAUCCUGUCUGAAUAUGGGGGGACCAUCCUCCAAGGCUAAAUACUCCUGACUGACCGAUAGUGAACCAGUACCGUGAGGGAAAGGCGAAAAGAACCCCGGCGAGGGGAGUGAAAAAGAACCUGAAACCGUGUACGUACAAGCAGUGGGAGCACCCUUCGGGGUGUGACUGCGUACCUUUUGUAUAAUGGGUCAGCGACUUAUAUUCUGUAGCAAGGUUAACCGAAUAGGGGAGCCGGAGGGAAACCGAGUCUUAAUUGGGCGUUAAGUUGCAGGGUAUAGACCCGAAACCCGGUGAUCUAGCCAUGGGCAGGUUGAAGGUUGGGUAACACUAACUGGAGGACCGAACCGACUAAUGUUGAAAAAUUAGCGGAUGACCUGUGGCUGGGGGUGAAAGGCCAAUCAAACCGGGAGAUAGCUGGUUCUCCCCGAAAGCUAUUUAGGUAGCGCCUCGUGAAUUCAUCUCCGGGGGUAGAGCACUGUUUCGGCUAGGGGGCCAUCCCGGCUUACCAACCCGAUGCAAACUGCGAAUACCGGAGAAUGUUAUCACGGGAGACACACGGCGGGUGCUAACGUCCGUCGUGAAGAGGGAAACAACCCAGACCGCCAGCUAAGGUCCCAAAGUCAUGGUUAAGUGGGAAACGAUGUGGGAAGGCCCAGACAGCCAGGAUGUUGGCUUAGAAGCAGCCAUCAUUUAAAGAAAGCGUAAUAGCUCACUGGUCGAGUCGGCCUGCGCGGAAGAUGUAACGGGGCUAAACCAUGCACCGAAGCUGCGGCAGCGAGCGUAUCACCCAAGACAACUUUACGGAGUUGACGAUUGACGGAGCGAAGCGACGUCAAAGCGUUCAUUAAAGUCGAGUUGGCUUAGGGAUACGUUCGUUGGGUAGGGGAGCGUUCUGUAAGCCUGUGAAGGUGUGUCGUGAGGCAUGCUGGAGGUAUCAGAAGUGCGAAUGCUGACAUAAGUAACGAUAAAGCGGGUGAAAAGCCCGCUCGCCGGAAGACCAAGGGUUCCUGUCCAACGUUAAUCGGGGCAGGGUGAGUCGACCCCUAAGGCGAGGCCGAAAGGCGUAGUCGAUGGGAAACGGGUUAAUAUUCCCGUACUUGGUGUUACUGCGAAGGGGGGACGGAGAAGGCUAUGUUGGCCGGGCGACGGUUGUCCCGGUUUAAGCGUGUAGGUGUGUGUUCCAGGUAAAUCCGGUUCACUUUAACACUGAGGCGUGACGACGAGGCACUACGGUGCUGAAGCAACAAAUGCCCUGCUUCCAGGAAAAGCCUCUAAGCAUCAGGUAACACGAAAUCGUACCCCAAACCGACACAGGUGGUCAGGUAGAGAAUACCAAGGCGCUUGAGAGAACUCGGGUGAAGGAACUAGGCAAAAUGGUGCCGUAACUUCGGGAGAAGGCACGCUGACACGUAGGUGAAGUGAUUUACUCAUGGAGCUGAAGUCAGUCGAAGAUACCAGCUGGCUGCAACUGUUUAUUAAAAACACAGCACUGUGCAAACACGAAAGUGGACGUAUACGGUGUGACGCCUGCCCGGUGCCGGAAGGUUAAUUGAUGGGGUCAGCGUAAGCGAAGCUCCUGAUCGAAGCCCCGGUAAACGGCGGCCGUAACUAUAACGGUCCUAAGGUAGCGAAAUUCCUUGUCGGGUAAGUUCCGACCUGCACGAAUGGCGUAAUGAUGGCCAGGCUGUCUCCACCCGAGACUCAGUGAAAUUGAACUCGCUGUGAAGAUGCAGUGUACCCGCGGCAAGACGGAAAGACCCCGUGAACCUUUACUAUAGCUUGACACUGAACAUUGAGCCUUGAUGUGUAGGAUAGGUGGGAGGCUUUGAAGUGUGGACGCCAGUCUGCAUGGAGCCGACCUUGAAAUACCACCCUUUAAUGUUUGAUGUUCUAACGUGGACCCGUAAUCCGGGUUGCGGACAGUGUCUGGUGGGUAGUUUGACUGGGGCGGUCUCCUCCUAAAGAGUAACGGAGGAGCACGAAGGUUGGCUAAUCCUGGUCGGACAUCAGGAGGUUAGUGCAAUGGCAUAAGCCAGCUUGACUGCGAGCGUGACGGCGCGAGCAGGUGCGAAAGCAGGUCAUAGUGAUCCGGUGGUUCUGAAUGGAAGGGCCAUCGCUCAACGGAUAAAAGGUACUCCGGGGAUAACAGGCUGAUACCGCCCAAGAGUUCAUAUCGACGGCGGUGUUUGGCACCUCGAUGUCGGCUCAUCACAUCCUGGGGCUGAAGUAGGUCCCAAGGGUAUGGCUGUUCGCCAUUUAAAGUGGUACGCGAGCUGGGUUUAGAACGUCGUGAGACAGUUCGGUCCCUAUCUGCCGUGGGCGCUGGAGAACUGAGGGGGGCUGCUCCUAGUACGAGAGGACCGGAGUGGACGCAUCACUGGUGUUCGGGUUGUCAUGCCAAUGGCACUGCCCGGUAGCUAAAUGCGGAAGAGAUAAGUGCUGAAAGCAUCUAAGCACGAAACUUGCCCCGAGAUGAGUUCUCCCUGAGACUUAGAGUCUCCUGAAGGAACGUUGAAGACGACGACGUUGAUAGGCCGGGUGUGUAAGCGCAGCGAUGCGUUGAGCUAACCGGUACUAAUGAACCGUGAGGCUUAACCU